CUUGCGAUAACUCAGUUGGUAGAGCGGAAGACUGUAGUUCCUUAGGUCGUUGGUUCGAGUCCAGCUAGCAAGA
rnacentral:tRNA from 1 species